AUUGAACGCUGGCGGCAGGCCUAACACAUGCAAGUCGAACGAGUGGCGGACGGGUGAGUAAUGUCUGGGCAACUGCCUGAUGGAGGGGGAUAACUACUGGAAACGGUAGCUAAUACCGCAUACCAUCGGAUGUGCCCAGAUGGGAUUAGCUAGUAGGUGGGGUAAAGGCUAACCUAGGCGACGAUCCCUAGCUGGUCUGCGAGGAUGACCAGACACACUGGAACGGAGACACGGUCCAGACUCCUAAGGGAGGCAGCAGUGGGGAAUAUGGCACAAUGGGCGCAAGCCUGAUGCAGCCAUGCCGAGUGGAUGAAGAAGGCCUUCGGGUUGUAAAGUACUUGCAGCGGGGAGGCGUUACCCGCAGAAGAAGCACCGGCUAACUCCGUGCCAGCAGCCGCGGUAAUAC
rnacentral:rRNA from 1 species